AUGCAUAAUUUCCGGAACACAUGGCAACACAGACCAUCGCGCAAACCAGGCUGCAGCCAUAGCAGCCAGAUUCAGCUGGGUAAACAAAGCGUAGUGCUAGCGAGCUACCCAGUAACGUUAGCCAAAUAGCGAUUCUGCAAAAUGGGAUUAAUAUAGAGAACAGCACCGUACAUUAUACGUUUUGAAAUAGUUAUAUAUAGUUUUCUUUAUCCAUUUCUAGUUAUGAUGACAAUACGUGAUUGAAUAGUUUGUGGGUCGUAUGUAGUAACGUUAGCUAAACCGUUAGCUAGUUAGAUUUUAGUGAAGCUGCAUUGAUUCGCAUAGGGAGCUAAAUUGAUCUUUAAGGGACGUUUAAAGUUUUAAAUGACACAUCAGUAAUUAAUUGCAAUGCUUUUAAUCUUUAGUUUGUUUCCCUCAUUGGCUCUUAGCAAAACCUAAAACAAUGUCUGUACUCAAAUGUUUACACGUUGUACAGAUAGGCAGAUAACCUUUUGAUUAAAAAGCCAAAACGGCUGUCAUGAAAUUAUAACCCCACUUUUAAUAAUUUGGGGUGAAAUGUUCAAUCUGAUGGCGAACUGCUGCAACUGGUUGAAACGAUGGAGAGAACCUGCAAGGAAGGUGACACUUGUUAUGGUCGGACUGGACAAUGUCGGAAAAACAGCUACAGUCAGAGGUAUCCAGGGAGAAAGCCCUUUAGAUGUAGCACCUACAGUGGGCUUCUCAAAGGUGGAUCUGAAGCAAGGAAAGUUUGAGGUCACAAUCUUUGACCUAGGUGGUGGGAAGCGUAUUCGUGGGAUUUGGAAAAACUACUACUCGGAGUCUUAUGGAGUGGUGUUUGUUGUGGACUCCAGCGAUGUUCAGAGGAUCCAAGAGACCAGAGACACAAUAGCAGAGGUCCUUCGUCACCCUCGUAUUGCAGGAAAACCUGUAUUAGUACUGGCUAAUAAACAGGACCAAGACGGUGCAUUGGCUGAAGCAGAUAUCAUCGAGAGCCUAUCAUUGGAGAAGCUUGUCAACGAGAAUAAAUGCCUCUGUCAGAUUGAGCCAUGUUCCGCAGUGCUGGGUUACGGUAAGAAGGUGGACAAAUCCAUCAAAAAUGGCCUUAACUGGCUCCUGAACAAUAUUGCCAAGGACUAUGAGGCAAUUUCAGAGCGAGUGCAAAAAGAUACAGCAGAUCAGAAGGCUCAGGAAGAACAGGACAAGAAGGAAAGAGCAGAGAGAGUUCGAAAGAUCAGAGAGGAGAGAGACAGGCAGGAACGAGAGGAGGUGGAGCAAGAAGGAAUUGUGUUGAAAGACGAGGUGCUAGAUGAUAUUAAUAUGACCAACCCAUUCCAGCCAAUAAACAAUGUUGUCACAGAGGAUGACAGCAGACUGAAAAAGAAAAAAGACAUGCAGAGACAGAAAGACGUGAGCCACCAGGGCAACUCUCAAGAUCAGACAGUCCUUCAAGAUGAAGCGGAAGAGCAGGAAGAGGAAGAGAGUGAGAGGCAGACCCCAGAGAGCACUGAAUCAGGAGCAGUGGAUCAGGCCAAGAAGAAAACUAAGAAAUUACGACUGAAACGCAAGCACAGGGUUGACCCACUUAGAGUGGAGGAUGCAGCACCUAUAAGCCCUACCCCUCCUCCCCUACCAGUUGGAUGGGCAACCCCUAAAGUUUCUAGGCUCCCCAAACUUGGGCCUCUUGGAGAUGCAAGGCAUUCUGGUCCGGUCAGUACCCACCACCCUUCCCUGUUCACCCACAGUUUAUACUUUUUCUUAGAAAACCAACGGCUCUUUUAAGAGCCACUUCAAUAAUCAACUCACUCACUCACUCUCCUCAAAAAUGCCAGGCCAGGGGUCAACAACUAGAAAGUGUGUAGUCUGCCAUACACAACUAAAUGUAGCUUGCAAAACCUGCAACACAUGCAAGGUAGAGCAGCCACAUAAGCUUCGGGUAAAAAAUAACUGAAGAAAUGUGAUCAGAAGCGGGAGAGCUGGGUGCAUGAUGAAGAUAUGCUGGCCUGGAAGAAAACCAAAUGCUUGGGGGUCUGAGGUUCUGACACCCCGUUGUCACUUGACUGAGACAUCCAUUACAUGCUUGGAAAGAUUAAAGAACCUAUUCAAGGCGGGACCUCACAAGGUGUUGCAGAACAAGUCAAUAAAACCUCAUCAGCCCGAGUUGAAUCCAAAUGGACCAACCUGAUCUCCAGGUACCAGUGGCCCUGCCUCAUACCAGAGCAGCUCCAACUGGACCACCAGCAGCCCUUAUUGCACCACCAAAGUCCCCAAUUUGACAGCCAGUAUCCCUUUUAGGACCCUCAGGACACCAUGCAACCCCACUGCAACAAUCUGGGAAAAGAAACCCAUUACCCAGAUGGACCCCCAAGAGCCUCCCCAGUUUCUCUUGGAAAAGAUGGUGUGAAAGAAGGCUUUCCAGCUCUGACUACAGUGCGGCCAGAUCAAAGGAAAGGGCCAGAAAUGGAAGCAGGUGGAGUGGGAGCCGUGCAAACUUUGAUAAAAGAAGUGGCCAUUGGAGUGGGUGGCGGAUGGGGACACUUGUUAGUGCUUCGGCAUCUUCUUGGGGACCUAAUACAAUAAGAAGCACUAUUAUUUUCUCUGUGUAACUUGUUUUUCUUUUAUGUUUUAAACAAACCAUUGUUUCCUGGACCCUUUUAUUGCUCCUCCUUUCACUUGCUUUUUUGCUCUUUUUUGGAUAUUAAUACUGAAUAUUGUUAAAACUGUUUUGCAACCAAAUUAUUGUCAAUUUAACUGUUUUAAUUGAUGUUAUAUCCUACUGUGAUGUAAUGAUGUUAAGUACAGUGAGUCUAUUUACUUUACUUUUUUCAAUAAACAUUGAGGAAUUCA